rnacentral:rRNA from 1 species
GUAGGUGGCAAGCGUUGUCCGGAAUUAUUGGGCGUAAAGCGCGCGCAGGCGGUUCUUUAAGUCUGAUGUGAAAGCCCACGGCUCAACCGUGGAGGGUCAUUGGAAACUGGAGAACUUGAGUACAGAAGAGGAAAGCGGAAUUCCACGUGUAGCGGUGAAAUGCGUAGAGAUGUGGAGGAACACCAGUGGCGAAGGCGGCUUUCUGGUCUGUAACUGACGCUGAGGCGCGAAAGCGUGGGGAGCGAAACAGGGAUUAGAUACCCUGGUAGUCCACGCCGUAAACGAUGAGUGCUAAGUGUUAGGGGGGUUUUCCGCCCCCCUUAGUGCUGCAGCUAACGCAUUAAGCACUCCGCCUGGGAGUACGGCCGCAAGGCUG